rnacentral:rRNA from 1 species
ACUCAAAUGAAUAGACGGGGUCCCGCACAAGCAGUGGAUCAUGUGGUUUAAUUCGAUGGUACACGAAGAACCUUACCGAGGCUUGACAUCCCUGGAAUCCGCCAGAAACGGUGGAGUGCCUUCGGGAACCAGGUGACAGGUGUUGCAUGGCCGUCGUCAGCUCGUGUCGUGAGAUGUUGGGUUAAGUCCCGCAACGAGCGCAACCCUUGUCGUGUGUUGUAUUUUUCACACGAGACCGCCCGGGCCAACCGGGAGGAAGGUGGGGAUGAUGUCAGGUCAGCAUGGCCCUUACGCCUCGGGCCACACACGUGAUACAAUGGCCGAUACAACGCGUCGCUAAGCUGUAAAGUGGAGCUAAUCGCAUCAAAAUCGGUCCCAGUUCGGAUUGAGGGCUGCAACUCGCCCUCAUGAAGCCGGAAUUGCUAGUAAACGUGGGUCAGCAUACCACGUUGAAUACGUUCCCGGGACUUGUACACACCGCCCGU